rnacentral:misc_RNA from 1 species
UUGAAUAUUUGAAGAGGUUGUUGCUGGUCCCUAGCGGGAUAUUGUGCACGCCUCGUUCAAAAAUCCAACCUUUACACCCCUGUGCAUCAUUUGUAGGGUCGCGGCCUUCGGGCUUGCGCUCUAUGUUUAUCACAAACUCUGUAGUAUGUGUAGAAUGACAUCGCGUAUAACGCAUCUAUAUA